rnacentral:ncRNA from 2 species
GGAAUAACUGCUCUGAAGAAAUUGAAUUUAGACAUCAAAAAAAUCUGGAAAUGGAUGUGCAAAUGUGUUAUCUAAGUCAGCUUUACAAAGUACUAUUCAUAGUUCAUAUAUCAUUCAUGUCCAUCCUAUUUUUGGGUAAUCUUUGAAAUUUCAUCGUGAUGGGGAUAGAUCAUUGCAAUUGUUGGUCUUCAACGAGGAAUUCCUAGUAAGGGCGAGUCAUCAGCUCGCGUUGACUAUGUCCCUACCCUUUGUACACACCGCCCGUCGCUCCUACCGAUUGAAUGAUCCGGUGAAGUGUUCGGAUCGCGGCGACGUGGGUGGUUCGCCGUCUGCGACGUCGCGAGAAGUCCACUAAACCUUAUCAUUUAGAGGAAGGAGAAGUCGUAACAAGGUUUCCGUAGGUGAACCUGCGGAAG